rnacentral:rRNA from 1 species
CUGGAACUGAGACACGGUCCAGACUCCUACGGGAGGCAGCAGUGGGGAAUAUUGCACAAUGGGCGCAAGCCUGAUGCAGCCAUGCCGCGUGUAUGAAGAAGGCCUUCGGGUUGUAAAGUACUUUCAGCGGGGAGGAAGGGAGUAAAGUUAAUACCUUUGCUCAUUGACGUUACCCGCAGAAGAAGCACCGGCUAACUCCGUGCCAGCAGCCGCGGUAAUACGGAGGGUGCAAGCGUUAAUCGGAAUUACUGGGCGUAAAGCGCACGCAGGCGGUUUGUUAAGUCAGAUGUGAAAUCCCCGGGCUCAACCUGGGAACUGCAUCUGAUACUGGCAAGCUUGAGUCUCGUAGAGGGGGGUAGAAUUCCAGGUGUAGCGGUGAAAUGCGUAGAGAUCUGGAGGAAUACCGGUGGCGAAGGCGGCCCCCUGGACGAAGACUGACGCUCAGGUGCGAAAGCGUGGGGAGCAAACAGGAUUAGAUACCCUGGUAGUCCACGCCGUAAACGAUGUCGACUUGGAGGUUGUGCCCUUGAGGCGUGGCUUCCGGAGCUAACGCGUUAAGUCGACCGCCUGGGGAGUACGGCCGCAAGGUUAAAACUCAAAUGAAUUGACGGGGGCCCGCACAAGCGGUGGAGCAUGUGGUUUAAUUCGAUGCAACGCGAAGAACCUUACCUGGUCUUGACAUCCACGGAAGUUUUCAGAGAUGAGAAUGUGCCUUCGGGAACCGUGAGACAGGUGCUGCAUGGCUGUCGUCAGCUCGUGUUGUGAAAUGUUGGGUUAAGUCCCGCAACGAGCGCAACCCUUAUCCUUUGUUGCCAGCGGUCCGGCCGGGAACUCAAAGGAGACUGCCAGUGAUAAACUGGAGGAAGGUGGGGACGACGUCAAGUCAUCAUGGCCCUUACGACCAGGGCUACACACGUGCUACAAUGGCGCAUACAAAGAGAAGCGACCUCGCGAGAGCAAGCGGACCUCAUAAAGUGCGUCGUAGUCCGGAUUGGAGUCUGCAACUCGACUCCAUGAAGUCGGAAUCGCUAGUAAUCGUGGAUCAGAAUGCCACGGUGAAUACGUUCCCGGGCCUUGUACACACCGCCCGUCACACCAUGGGAGUGGGUUGCAAAAGAAGUAGGUAGCUUAACCUUCGGGAGGGCGCUUACCACUUUGUGAUUCAUGACUGGGGUGAAGUCGUAACAAGGUAACCGUAGGGGAACCUGCGGUUGGAUCACCUCCUU